rnacentral:rRNA from 1 species
UCCCUUAGUAGCGGCGAGCGAAGCGGGAGAAGCUCAAGUUUGAAAUCGGGUCCUGCCCGGAGUUGUAAGCUGGAGGGACGUCUGCCUAAGACGCCCGGGCUCAAUUUGCUUGGAACAGCAAGUCACUGAGGGUGAGAACCCCGUCCGUGGCCCGGUGAUUGGCCUUACAGUGCGGCGGCCCCAAUGAGUCGGGUUGUUUGGGAAUGCAGCUCAAAAUGGGUGGUAAAUUUCAUCUAAAGCUAAAUAUUGGCAAGAGACCGAUAGCGAACAAGUAGAGUGAUCGAAAGAUGAAAAGCACUUUGAAAAGAGAGUGAAACAGUGCGUGAAAUUGUUGAAAGGGAAGCGCUUGGCAUCAGCCCAUGACUUUUGUCCAUCAUCCUGGCUUCUGCCUGGUGCAAUGGUCAAGAGUUGGGCCAGCGUUUGGCUCCUUCCGCCCUAGAAAGGCCUUGGGGACGUGGCUCCAUCUGGAGCGUUAUAACCCUUGGCGGCAUGGGGUGAGAUGGGGCCGAGGUCCGCGGCAUAGCCCAGGACGCUGGCGUAAUGGUCCCAAGCGACCCGUCUUGAAACACGGACCAAGGAGUCUAACAUCUAUGCGAGUGUUUGGGUGUCAAGCCCGGCCGCGCAAUGAAAGUGAAAGGGGCGGGAGCCUAGAGGCGCACCGUCGACCGGUCCGGAGGUUUACCAAAGGAUCCGAGUGAGAGCAUAGCUGUUGGG